UGCUUAACACAUGCAAGUCGAACGGGGUCCAACCUUCGGGUGAAGACCUAGUGGCGAACGGGUGAGUAACACGUGAGAAACCUGUCCCAAAGUCUGGGAUAAGCCAGGGAAACUUGGUCUAAUGCCGGAUGUCCUUAUUAAGUCUUAUGUCUUUAUAAGGAAAGUUUUUCGCUUUGGGAGGGUCUCGCGGCCUAUCAGCUUGUUGGUGAGGUAAUGGCUCACCAAGGCUUCGACGGGUAGCUGGUCUGAGAGGAUGAUCAGCCACACUGGGACUGAGACACGGCCCAGACUCCUACGGGAGGCAGCAGUGGGGAAUCUUGCGCAAUGGGCGAAAGCCUGACGCAGCAACGCCGCGUGAGGGAUGAAGGCUCUCGGGUUGUAAACCUC
rnacentral:rRNA from 1 species